GCCUGGGUGGCUCAGUUGGUUUUGGGCAUCCGACUCAUGAUCUUAUGGUACGUGAGUUCAAGCCCUGCCUCAGGCU
rnacentral:tRNA from 1 species